rnacentral:rRNA from 1 species
UGGUUUCCAUUAAUCAAGAACGAAAGUUAGAAUAUCGACGGCGAUCAGAUACCGCCCUAGUUCUAACCAUAAACGAUGCUAGCCAGCGAUCCGGCUGUGUUCCUCAAAUGACACGCCGGGCAGCUUCCGGGAAACCAAAGCUUUUGAGUUCUGGGGGAAGUAUGGUUGCAAAGCUGAAACUUAAAGGCAUUGACGGAAGGGCACUACAAGGGAUGGAGCCUGCGGCUUAAUUUGACUCAACACUGGACAACUCACCCGACCCGGACACAGGAAGGAUUGACAGAUUGAGAGCUCUUUCUUGAUUCUGUGGUAGGUGGUGCAUGGCCGCUUCUAGUUCGUGGAGCGAUUUGUCUGGUCAAUUCCGAUAACGAUCGAGAUUCUAGCCUACUAAUUAGACGAUCCGAUCUUUGUUGUCGGCCGUUUCUUCUUAGAGGGACCCGCGGCAAUUAGCCGCACGAGACAGAGCAACAGCAGGUCUGUAAUGCCCUUAGAUGUCCGGGGCCGCACGCGCGCUACAUUGAAGGAGUCAGCGUGUGAUUCCCCUGUCCGACAGGAUUGGGUAACCCGUUGAACCUCUUUCGUGCUGGGGACAGGAGAUUGUAAUUACCUCCUCGAACGAGGAAUCCCUAGUAAGCGCGAUUCAUUAAAUCGUGUUGAUUAGGUCCCUGCCUUUUGUUCACACCGCCCGUCGCUGUUAGCGAUUGAAUGAUUUAGUGAGGUCUUCGGACUGGCGCCGGAUCGUGGCCUUCGGGUCUAGCCGCGUGCCGGAAAGAUGAUCGAACUUGGUUAUUUAGAGGUAACAAAAGUCGUAACAAGGUUUCC